rnacentral:rRNA from 1 species
UGGGGAAUAUUGCACAAUGGACGGAAGUUUGCUGCAGCGACGCCGCGUGGAGGGUGUAGGCCUUCGGGUUGUGAACUCCUUUUUCUCGCGAAAAAGGCACAGUUUUGGCUGUGUUGAUGGUAGUGGGGGAAGAAGCGCCGGCUAACUACGUGCCAGCAGCCGCGGUAAUACGUAGGGCGCGAGCGUUGUCCGGAUUUAUUGGGCGUAAAGAGCUCGUAGGUGGUUCGUCGCGUCUGUCGUGAAAGCCAGCAGCUUAACUGUUUGUCUGCGGUGGGUACGGGCGGGCUUGAGUGCGGUAGGGGUGACUGGAAUUCCUGGUGUAGCGGUGGAAUGCGCAGAUAUCAGGAGGAACACCGAUGGCGAAGGCAGGUCACUGGGCCGUUACUGACACUGAGGAGCGAAAGCGUGGGGAGCGAACAGG